rnacentral:lncRNA from 1 species
GCUGCGAAUUUCAGCCUAUAAAUACCAUCCUUUGCUGCACCAUUUAGUCACCAUCCUCUACCAUAUUUUCACUACACCAUUCACCCAAACAUACCUUGUGUGCCGUGAGUUUGCAAGGAGAAGAAGAAAGACAACUUGGAGCCGUGCAUGCCAUUCAAGGAGCUUGGAUUGUGGAGCGUUUCUAGGUGUUUUCUAUCUUUGUUUUAAUGUUUAAAUUUAUUUAUCUUUGUUUAUUUGCGAGUAUGAGGAACUAAACCCCCCUUGGCUAGGGGGGAUUCGAAACCAUGAUUAUGCUUGCUAUAUGAUUUGAUUACUUCUAAUUGCGUUUCAUAAGUUGUGAUUUCAAUUUGCUUAUCUAUGUGAAUUAAAACUUAUUCUUGUAUGUUGAUUGAGGGUCGACACUUAGUUUGCAUGCAUGGAUUUGAUGCUAGGAUAUAAGGGAAUUUCACCUAAUCGUUAUGAACUUAUAUUCACAAGUAGUAAAGGUUGUUGAUUACAAUCGUGUUAAGUAAAUUCUUGGCAUAAGUUUCAUGCAAUCAUAGUAACAAGUGC